UGGGGAAUAUUGCACAAUGGAGGAAACUCUGAUGCAGCAACGCCGCGUGAACGAAGAAGGCUUUCGAGUCGUAAAGUUCUGUUAUAGGGGAAGAAGCAGUGACGGUACCCUAUGAGAAAGCCACGGCUAAUUACGUGCCAGCAGCCGCGGUAAUACGUAAGUGGCAAGCGUUAUCCGGAAUUACUGGGCAUAAAGAGUUCGUAUGCGGUCAAUCAAGCCAAUAGUGAAAUCCAUCGGCCUAACCGAUGUAAGCUAAUGGAACUGAGUGACUUGAGUACAGGAGAGGAAAGUGGAAUUCCUAGUGUAGUAGUGAAAUGCGUAGAUAUUAGGAAGAACAUCAGUAGCGAAGGCGACUUUCUGGACUGUAACUGACGCUGAGGAACGAAAGCGUGGGGAGCGAACAGGAUUAGAUACCCUGGUAGUCCACGCCGUAAACGAUGGAUACUUGGUGUUGGCCGUAAAGGUCGGUGCCGGAGCAAAUGUAUUAAGUAUCCCGCCUGGGGAGUACGGUCGCAAGGCUGAAACUCAAAAGAAUUGACGGGGACCCGCACAAGCAGCGGAGCAUGUGGUUUAAUUCGAAGCAACGCGAAGAACCUUACCAAAUCUUGACAUAUCAAAGCUAUCUGAGUAAAAUUGGAGUUCCAUGUGGACUUUGACUACAGGUGGUGCAUGGUUGUCGUCAGCUCGUGUCGUGAGAUGUUGGGUUAAGUCCCGUAACGAGCGCAACCCUUAUUUUUAGUUGCUAACAAGUAAUGUUGAGGACUCUAGAGAGACUGCCGAUGAAAAAAUCGGAGGAAGGUGGGGAUGACGUCAAAUCAUCAUGCCCCUUAUGAUUUGGGCUACACACGUGCUACAAUGGCCGGUACAACGGGUAAGCGAAGGGGUGACCUGGAGCCAAUCCUCAUAAGCCGGUCCCAGUUCGGAUUGCAGAUUGAAACUCAUCUGUAUGAAGUUGGAGUUGCUAGUAAUCGCGAAUCAGAAUGUCGCGGUGAAUGCGUUCGCCGGGUCAUUGUACACACCGCCCGUCACACCAUGGAAGUUGG
rnacentral:rRNA from 1 species